GGGUCAAGUGUGGGAUGGCAAUUUUAAAUGGCAGGAAUGACUAUGGAGAAGGAGUGUCAGGUAGUACAAUUAGAGGGAAGAACACAGAUCAAGUCAUUAAGUUGAAGAUCACAGGAUUUGGAUUUAAACUAUAAGAACUUUAACCUCUGUUCCUUGCUUUAUAGCCUCCAUAAUUGGUAGUCCAGGAAAGCAGCCAUCUUUCUCCACUGCCAUGUUCUGACAUCUGGAGGUGCUGUUAAGGACAAAAAAGUGUGACCCAGAGUUACCUGCUUACAGAGAACAGAUAUGCUUGAACAUGGAAGAUGCACCCCACAACCCACCUCACAGAGGACCCCUGUCUACCAGGAGAAAAUGAAUACCGUUAUCCCCAAGGAGAUACCAUUUCUUCAGGUCUUCAUUUCCUUCUGAAGGGUCCCAUGUCAGGUAAAAUAUAUGUUAUACAAAUGCAUAUUCUUUUGUCCUGUUGAUCUGUGUUAUUCAGUUUAAUUUUCAGACCCAGACAGGGUCUCUAAGUGGGUCAAGGAAAACUUUUUACUCCCCUACAGUUUUUAUCUGUUGUAUCUCCAGAGCCUAGCCCACAGUCAAGAUAAGAAACUGACAUGGAUUAAUGAAUAAACCAAUGAAUGUCAGUGAAAAUUUUUAGCUUGCAAAUGGGACUUGUUGUAUUCAAAGUUCUUAUAGAUAUGUUCAAUGGGAAAAAAUUAGACUUGCUGUGUUUGAUGUUAGAGAUGUUAUCCCAGAACAAUGAGUAUAAUUUUAGGCAGGAGAGUACUGUUUCAAUUAAGGAAACAGGCUAUGUUAUCUUGGAUGAUUCUAUUUUAUCCCUUAGUAUAUUCUUGCUUCUCUGGGGUAGGAAUCACAUAUUCCUUGAUCACUGUUACGUUUCCCUUGCUAGCAAAGU